UACUACCCCCAAGUGGUGGAUAACCCUUCGAAAGGAGGGCUAAUACAGCAUAAGACCACGAUCUCGAAAGAGGUUGAGGGAAAAGCCGGCCAAUUCACGAAAGCUGGCGCUAGGGGAUGAGCCUGCGGCCCAUCAGCUUGUUGGUAGGGUAACGGCCUACCAAGGCAAAGACGGGUAGCUGGUCUGAGAGGAUGAUCAGCCACACUGGAACUGAGACACGGUCCAG
rnacentral:rRNA from 1 species